UUUUUGACCUAUCAGCUUUCGACGGUAUGGUAUUGGCUUACCGUGGCAGUGACGGUUAACGGGGGAUUAGGGUUCGAUUCCGGAGAGGGAGCCUGAGAAACGGCUACCACAUCUAAGGAAGGCAGCAGGCGCGCAAAUUACCCAAUUCUAACAGCAUAAGAGAGGUAGUGACAAGAAAUAACAAUACAGGGCAGUUAAAAUGCUUUGUAAUUGGAAUGAUAGAAAUUUAAACACUUUUUAAAGUAUCAAUUGGAGGGCAAGUCUGGUGCCAGCAGCCGCGGUAAUUCCAGCUCCAAUAGCGUAUAUUAAAAUUGUUGCAGUUAAAAAGCUCGUAGUUGAAUUUYUGCUAAAAAAAACCGGUCUGCUUUUUUAAUAAAAGUAGUAUCUUGGUGCGUUUUUAGCAAUAAUAUCCUUUGAAAUGCUUUUUACUUUAUUGUAAAAAGCAAUAUUCAGGAUUUUUACUUUGAGAAAAUUAGAGUGUUUCAAGCAAGCUAACGCUUUGAAUACUAAAGCAUGGAAUAAUAAAAUAGGAUUUUGGUUCUACAUUAUUGGUUUUAAGAAUUAAAUUAAUGAU
rnacentral:rRNA from 1 species